rnacentral:rRNA from 1 species
GUGCCAGCCGGCCGCGGUAAUACCGGCAGCCCGAGUGAUGGCCGAUCUUAUUGGGCCUAAAGCGUCCGUAGCUGGCCGGACAAGUCCGUUGGGAAAUCUGCGCGCUCAACGCGCAGGCGUCCAGCGGAAACUGUCCGGCUUGGGGCCGGAAGAUCCGAGGGGUACGUUCGGGGUAGGAGUGAAAUCCCAUAAUCCCGCACGGACCACCGAUGGCGAAAGCACUUCGAGAAAACGGAUCCGACAGUGAGGGACGAAAGCCAGGGUCUCCAACCGGAUUAGAUACCCGAGUAGUCC